GCCAGCCUGGCACGCUGAGAUUAGGGAGGAAAGGCUCUGGGCCCCGAUCUGCCUAUGCUGCUCUCACAGCACGCCUUCCAGAAGAUUCCCUGGCUUCAGCCCUGCCCCCCACCAGCACAGGCCUGCAGCCACUCUGAAUUCUGGGCCGAACAAGGUCCCAGCAACUCUUGACAAUCACUGACUAUUUCUGCCAUGGAUUCCCAAGAAUGGUGAAUGCCCCUGUUGGCCUGGAGGCUCCUGUUAAAAGAUUUGGAGGUUUCAGUCCACGGUCAACUGGUUCCAUUCCUCUGGGCCUGUGGUGAGGCAGAACAUGACAGCAGAGGGUGUAGGAGGAGAAAUCUGGCUACCUCAUGACAUCCAGGAAGGAGGAGGAGACAAAGAGGAGAAGGAGAGAGAAGAGAGGCUGACCAAGGAUAAAACAUACUCUUCAAAGACAUGCUGCCAGUGACAUGCUUCCUCCAACCCCAGCUCCUAACAGCAGAUUCAGGUAUGUUUUUCUCUGUGUGUUUUCUCAAGUGAUGGGCAGGUCAUAUGCAAAGAACCAAAAGCAGCUCACAUCCAC
ensembl:lncRNA